ACACACAGGUCGUGGGUUCUCCUUUGAGAGUGACCACUGGUUCCUAGAGCUUUUCCUAAACUGGAGACGGAUCCUGCCCUGGGGGUCUCAGUCACCGCGAGGACUCGAGGAUAGCAAAACUAAGUGUCAAAAGCACCUUCUGCACACAGUCUGCACACACUGGCCGGUGGUCCUGUUCCCGCAAGGUUGAGCUGUGUUCCAGAGACAUGGGUCCUCCGGGUGAUGAGGAGCCGCUGGAGGGCCCUGAGCUGCACGUGCUAAUGAUUAACGCCCCGUCCGUGCUGGCCGGUUUCUCAAAUGCCUCCUGACGAUUGCGCACAGCCGGACAUCAUUUGUACUGAGAGACAAAAGGAAAUCACUGAGGCUUUCUGAGCUGGUGUCAGGAGCAGGGCUUAGCAAGAUCUCUCCUUUGAGCGGCUUUCUCUGGAAUCGGGUGAAGUCCCCACAACACAGAGGCCCCUGUGCGCGCCCCUUCUUUGGGGCCAGCACCUCCCUUCAACUGAGGCUGAUACCUUUAUUUGGGAAUCUGGGGGCAGUUGCUGCCUCUGUGCCGGCAAAGGCUUUCAGCUUGGAGGACGUUUUCCCUGCUUACUGGAGAUUUUCCCAAUGGUGUCCAUGUCACUGUUCCUCUAGCAGAUGUGGAAAGUGGCUGCUCAGUGAGGACUCAGCCCCCACCAACCUGACUGAGGGUCACACGACACCAUGGUGGAAAGUCACAAAGGGUAACGGGCCAAGAGGGUGAGGGGGGCUCCCUGACCCUGAGGACCCCUGAGGCACUGCUGCACCUUCCACGGAUUCUGUGUCUAGCGUUGCCCUCUUUGCAGAUGCCCCUCGUGGUGGUGGCACAAAGACCUAAAAAUGAUUUCUGUAAAAUGGGUACAAGGAGCUCCCUGAUAAAGCAGCUCAUCCUAG
rnacentral:lncRNA from 1 species